AAAUUAAUAUCAUUUUUCAUACGACAAGACCAAGUCUUUUUAGGUACAGUUAUGCAUCUGACAAUUAUUGUUAGGAAGAUUUACAUGCAUACCACAGAAUUCUUAUUCAUAUACAUAUCUAACAUCAAAAAUCCAAUUUUUACAUGCAUGUGAACGUACCUACGCAUCAAAUGGUGUAUUUCUCUUUUUGUAUUCAUAGAAAAGGUGGUCGGGAUGCAACGAACCUUAAUCUGAAUGACGAAUUGAGGAGGAAUUUCACGUAUUGAUCAUCGUUUCUUUAUGCAUUUUGUUUAAUAUAUUUCUUUUAUUGUAAGGUUGAUGGAGGUUUAUGUCAUGGAGUGCUAAAUGUUUUAAUGUUUCGGGGAUGUUACUACUUGUUUGUAGAAUUUAUGUAUUUUUAUACCCAUUGAAUACUUGUUUUUUAAUUAUUGGAAACUGAAAUGAUGGAUUGAUAUAUGUUUUGAUGUAUUUGAGAUAUUAGAACCAUUUU